GUCUUUUUGAUUAUAAUUUAAAGUCUAACCUGCCCACUGAAAUUUUUGAAGGGCCGCGGUAUUUUGACUGUGCAAAGGUAGCAUAAUCAUUAGUCUUUUAAUUGGAGGCUUGUAUGAAUGGUUGGAUGAGGUAUUAACUGUCUCAAUUUAAUAAAUAAAAGAAUUUUAUUUUUAAGUUAAAAAGCUUAAAUGAAAUUAAAAGACGAGAAGACCCUAUAGAUCUUUAUAAUUAAUUUUAUAAUAAUUUUUUAGAUAAAAUUUAUUUUUAUAAAAUAAAUUAUUUUAUUGGGGUGAUAAAAAAAUUUAUAAAACUUUUUUUGUAAAAAAACAAUUAUAUUUGAUUAAUUGAUCCAUUUUUUGUGAUUAUAAGAUUAAGUUACCUUAGGGAUAACAGCGUAAUUUUUUUGGAGAGUUCUUAUCGAUAAAAAAGAUUGCGACCUCGAUGUUGAAUUAAAGGUUAAUUUUAGGUGUAGAAGUUUAAAAUUUUGGUCUGUUCGACCAUUAAAUC
rnacentral:rRNA from 1 species